AUGGUGUUCCAGAAGAGGACGUCGUCGGAGAUGGAGUCGUGCGGUGGAAGCCACGUCGCGGAGAUGCCGCGCGUCCCGAAAUCCGCGAGGGGCAAGAGAUCGGUUAGGAAGAAGGAGAGCCAGGGCCAGGCGAUGUGCGCGUUUGACCUUCUCGCGACGGUGGCCGGCAAGCUGCUCGAUGAGGGCGAGGGCUCGCUGGGGAACAUGAGCGCCGGCUCCCCGGUCCUCGCUGCUUCUGCCAAGGAUGUCUGCGUGAAGCAAGAGCAGUGCGACGAGGAGGGGAAGCACCUCAAGAAUGAUGUGAUGGACCAGGAUAGCUGCAACGAGAGCGCGUUGAUUUCCCACAUUGCGUCUCAGAGACUGGCGGAUCACCAUUCUCGGAAGGGGGAGGAUCUGAAUGAGGUUCCAAAGGCAAAGUCUGAGGCUGUGGACAAGGAACCCUCGAUGAUAAGUUGUACCAAGGCUGACUUGGGUAGUAAUUUCGGGGCGAUCGCGGACAGGUGGUCGCCUGAAUCCGUGGAGUCAGGGGCCUUCACCGGGGAUGCAGCGGCAAAUGUGAUGGCAUUGUCCGCAGCAGCCUUCAACAAGAGCGCCCCUGACAUGUACAAUCUUCUCGACCCCAUGGAUGUCGAUGUGAAGCCGCCUCCUUUGGUCAGCUCUGACAGCACCGGCGAGAUGCCACUAUAUGGCUGCAAAAUUCACAAGUCCGUCUCCUUUCCGAGGGGUCCGAAAGGAGGAGCAGAGUAUUCUGUAGAUAGAGAGAAUGGUGAUGAUGAUGAUAAAUCUUCCGGGUGCACGCAUUCGAGCACCGCCACUAACAGGGGCUUCAGGCCCAAUUGUACAGCUGACCAAAGUAGGGUGAAGAAGUUCCUCGCCUGCAAGUACAGGAAAGUUGCUCCAGCCAGAAUGCACAAAGGAGAUCUUUCCUAUAGUGAUGCUGACCGGAAGCCUUCUUUCCGAAACAAGAAAAUGUAUUAUACGCGGCAAAGGACCCAAAGGAGUACAUUUAAGCGAAGGAAGAUGUUGGAUCGUCAUUCAACUCUAGUAUCUGAAGAAUUUGCAAAAUCAAAUGCAAAGAGAACCACAAAGGUUAAUGCAAGAGAACCACAUGCUGCUUCCUUGGAAGCAAAUAAGGGCAGCAACUCAAUGCCAUUCCAUGGAUCUUGUAAAUCAAACGAUUGCCAUGUGAAACUUAAGAUCAAAUCUUUCAAGGUGCCUGAACUUCUAAUUGAGAUCCCAGAAACUGCUUCUGUUGGUUCACUGAAGAAAACUGUUCUGGAGGCAGUAAAUGCCAUGCUUGGAGGUGGUCUGCGUGUGGGUGUUCUUCACCAUGGAAAGAAAAUCAGGGAUGAUAGCAAAACCUUAAUGCAAGCUGGGAUUGGUCAUGAUGAUAUUCUGGACAACAUAGGCUUUUCACUGGAGCCCAACUGUACACGGCAUUCAUCACAACUUGCAGCUCCUGAAGAUAUCGAAUUCCUAGAAACUGUUGAAACCACUGAACCCCUAGCAAGGAUCGCACCUGCUGACUCAUCCUCGAAGCACGGCGAAGUAGAUGCCUCACAGGAGCUUGCAUUGACACCCUUGACAGCUAAUUACCAGGGAAAUGAUCAUGAUUCAGUGCACUCUCCUGGGGGCAUCUCCUCACCUGAGAAAGCUUCAGCAAACUCGCGAGCUAUUGUUCCAGUUACACCUGUAGAUUCCAGCGCAGGGGCGAUAGUUCCAGCAAACAAGGCGAAGAGAUCAGCGGAACAGGGGCAGCGUCGAAUCAGACGUCCCUUCUCUGUUGCUGAAGUGGAAGCACUUGUGCUUGCAGUCGAAAAGCUUGGAACUGGAAGAUGGCGAGAUGUUAAACUUCGUGCUUUUGACAAUGCCAAGCAUCGGACCUAUGUUGAUCUCAAGGACAAAUGGAAGACGCUGGUGCACACGGCGAGCAUCUCGCCCCAGCAGCGGCGCGGUGAGCCGGUGCCGCAGGAUCUGCUCGACCGGGUCCUUGCGGCCCAGUCCUAUUGGUCCCAGCAGCAGGCCAAGCUCCAGCCUAAGACGCCCCCACUGGCUGAGGCUCGCCUGCUCACCUAA
rnacentral:rRNA from 1 species